CACAGCCCAACAAAAAUGGUCUCAUGGUGAAGAACAGGCCAAAAGCUUCAAUGACAAUAAAUAAAUCCAGCAAACCACUGCCUUCCAAUGUGUGAAUGCCAAUGGCUUCCUCUAUUCCUUGGUAGCAGUUGGGUAAUUGUUCUUGCGACUUUCUAGAGCCAAAGUUCUCAGCUUGAUCUUUCAUCUCGAGCUGACUGAUCCUAAAGAAAAUAAUGAUAAGAUGGAGAGGAGGACAAAGACAAGUCAAGUAAGGUGUAAAGGGAUGAGUAGUUCAAGGCAAGGGAAGAUCCUUUCAAGUAUUUCCUAAAUCAACCAAAAGUAAUGAAUCACUCUUGUGUUCUUGUAUGCACACACACACACACACACACACCACUCACUUGCUUUUAUGUACUACCGAGUCUUAAAGUUCCUCACACUGGAAAAUGAGAGACUGGUCAGUUAGUUUCCAACAGAGAAAAUACCAUGCAUGUGGCCACAGAGUGAGAGUCCUACUUUGGUGUUUUCAUCUCUGGACUGCAAGAGCCCAGGUCCUGACACUAUAGAAUUUGACUUUUCUUUGUAAAAUUUCAUAUGAAU
rnacentral:lncRNA from 1 species